CCCCCCCAUUCAUCGUCUUCAUGCUUGGAGACCCAAACCAUAGCGACACUGCCACUCCCACGUCCUCCAGUGGCGGCGCCACCAUAAAACACUGCCAAAAUAACACCCCAUAACUCCUUCACUCCCUUCAUAUCGAAUCUCUACUCCGUUUGUUUCAAAUCCCACUGGAUCUCCUCGAAAAUUAGAUCAAAAGAACGAAACCUAAAUCCCUAAAUCCAAAUCAACAGGCCCGUUUGAAUAUUUGAGACCGUAAUAGACGUUAUUCGUGUGUUUAUGCAUGGAAGCACACGAUUAGGGUCUAUUCCGAUCAAGAAAUUAACAAAUCGUUCAAGGCUUGUCAAGUCUACUUUUGGCCAGUUGUAAGUAUCAUCUUUUACUUUGUUAUUUUUCGUUCUUUUAUUCUACUCCCCGACCUCAUCUCCUUCUGCUUCAUCUUUUCUUUUGUACUGUAGGCAGUGUUAUGUUAUGUUUUGCAUGAUUAUAUAAAAGACAUGUUAGUUACAAUUCAUGUUUAGUUUGCAAACCUGACUUAGGAUUGUUAUUUGGGUUAGUUUGACCCAUAUCCGAUUUCAAGGGUAUAUAACCUAAAUUUUAAGGGCAAUUUGGGUAGCCUAGAUUAGGGAAUCUGGGGUAACAACCUUAGGAAACUUCCAAGAAGGGGGGUUUGAGACUAUUUCGAAUAUCUGAAAAUUGGCUAAGGUUUACUAAGCUAAAAUCAGAAUUUAAAAGGGGUCUAAGUGCAAAUCUGUUUCUCAUUAAGUUGGCCUAGUGCCUUUCCUACAAAAGUCCUCUAACUUGGAAUUCAAGGAAGAGAUUUAUCUUAGAGAAAAAACCUUAAAAAAUUAGACCUUAGAGUUCAAGAGAUAAAAAAUGAAAAAUCCAGAAUAAUGCAAAUGGCUAAAAAUUUGAAUAAAACACUGUCCUAUUGAAUUUCAUGCUUUGGAUCUUAAGGUUUUAUUUUCCUGAAUCAAUUUCUGCUGUGUUUUAGGGUCGAAAUGAAUUGAGGUUGAGCCUUUUAAAUCUGGUUUAGAUUUUGAUGGUGUUCAAGUCUGUUUUGAUUGCUGGUUUCCUGAUCUGAGUCUCCCACUAUUGUUUCUUUAUGAAUUCCCUCUCACUUUUGGUUUGUGUAUUGCUGUAAUCAGGUACACCUUGGAUCUUUUGUCAUGUGAGGUGCAAGUUUUAAUCUCUAUAGUUCGAGUUGAAGAAAAUAAUCAAUCUUAACUUUUUAUUUGUUUGUCAAAGUCAUAUUAGUCUGUUUGGUUUAUCUUAGUAUAGCUUUGUGCACUUCAUUUUCUUUUAAGGGUUGAAUUGAAGAAGUGAAAUGGACAGCAGGAGGUUUAAGGCAAAAUGCUAACCUAUAUGUGUUUCAGAUAUAUUUCUUUCUAAUUUUAUGCUUUUGUAGAUUUAGUUCUUGUCAUGGUAAAUUAUCAUGGGGCUUUUAAGAUUGUUGCUAUAAAAGGUUUUAUUUGGUCGCUUAUGGAUUCUGGACUUUUAUUCAAUUUUGCUAAAGAUUAAUAUUGCUUCAGCUAUGUUUUCCAUUCGAAUUUGUAGGUGUCAAGCUUGGUUUGUCGUCUGUGUUGAUUUAACCAAGUUGAGCUUUGUUGGCAUAUCUAAUUCUUGUCUAGUUGGUUAAAAAUAGAAGUAGAAGUUUAAUUAGGCAAUUUGU
rnacentral:lncRNA from 1 species